GUAGUCCACGCCCUAAACGAUGAUUACUAGAUGUGUGCAAUAUACCGUACGCGUCACAGCUAAAGCGUUAAGUAAUCCACCUGGGGAGUACGGCCGCAAGGCUGAAACUCAAAGGAAUUGACGGGGGCCCGCACAAGCGGAGGAGCAUGUGGUUUAAUUCGAUGAUACGCGAGGAACCUUACCAGGGCUUGAAAGUUAGUGAAUGAUUUAGAAAUAGGUCAGCAAGCAAUUGCACGAAACUAGGUGCUGCAUGGCCGUCGUCAGCUCGUGCCGUGAGGUGUUGGGUUAAGUCCCGCAACGAGCGCAACCCCUAUCAUUAGUUGCCAACAGGUUAAGCUGGGGACUCUAAUGAGACUGCCCGCGUAAGCGGUGA
rnacentral:rRNA from 1 species